rnacentral:rRNA from 1 species
GAGUUUGAACCUGGCUCAGGAUGAACGCUGGCGGCGUGCCUAAUACAUGCAAGUCGAGCGAACCACUUCGGUGGUGAGCGGCGAACGGGUGAGUAACACGUAGGUGAUCUGCCCAUCAGACGGGGACAACGAUUGGAAACGAUCGCUAAUACCGGAUAGGACGAAAGUUUAAAGGUGCUUCUGGCACCGCUGAUGGAUGAGCCUGCGGCGCAUUAGCUAGUUGGUAGGGUAAAGGCCUACCAAGGCGACGAUGCGUAGCCGACCUGAGAGGGUGAACGGCCACACUGGGACUGAGACACGGCCCAGACUCCUACGGGAGGCAGCAGUAGGGAAUCUUCGGCAAUGGGCGAAAGCCUGACCGAGCAACGCCGCGUGAAUGAUGAAGGCCUUCGGGUUGUAAAAUUCUGUUAUAAGGGAAGAACGACUUUAGUAGGAAAUGGCUAGAGUGUGACGGUACCUUAUGAGAAAGCCACGGCUAACUACGUGCCAGCAGCCGCGGUAAUACGUAGGUGGCGAGCGUUAUCCGGAAUUAUUGGGCGUAAAGAGCGCGCAGGUGGUUGAUUAAGUCUGAUGUGAAAGCCCACGGCUUAACCGUGGAGGGUCAUUGGAAACUGGUCGACUUGAGUGCAGAAGAGGGAAGUGGAAUUCCAUGUGUAGCGGUGAAAUGCGUAGAGAUAUGGAGGAGCACCAGUGGCGAA